UGCCAGCCGCCGCGGUAAUACGAAGGGGGCUAGCGUUGUUCGGAUUUAUUGGGCUUAAAGAGCUCGUAGACGGCCUUUCAAGUAAGAUGUGAAAUCUCCAGGCUCAACCUGGAAACUGCAUCUUAAACUGGAAGACUUGAGUUUGGUAGAGGAAAGUAGAACUUUUAGUGUAGGGGUGAAAUCCGUAGAUAUUAAAAGGAAUACCGAAAGCGAAGGCAGCUUUCUGGACCAAAACUGACGUUGUUGAGCGAAAGCGUGGGGAGCAAACAGGAUUAGAUA
rnacentral:rRNA from 1 species